GACGGAGGUUGCAAGCGUUAUUCGGAAUCAUUGGGCGUAAAGAGCGUGUAGGCGGCCGGUCAAGUCAGAGGUGAAAGCCCAGGGCUCAACCCUGGAAGGGCCUUUGAAACUGGUCGGCUUGAGUGCGGGAGAGGGAAGUGGAAUUCCUGGUGUAGAGGUGAAAUUCGUAGAUAUCAGGAGGAACACCGGUGGCGAAGGCGACUUCCUGGACCGACACUGACGCUGAGACGCGAAAGCGUGGGGAGCAAACAGG
rnacentral:rRNA from 1 species